UAAAAUAAAAAUUAAUAAAAAUAAAUUUAUAAUAAAAAUAAUUUUAAUAUAAAAUAAAUAAUGGGGGUUAUUUUAUUUUAAUAGAAAAAAUUAUUAUAUUUAUAGGGAAUUAGUAUUGUAAAAGAAAUUUGAAAUAUGUGAAAAUAAAUUUUUAUAAAAGUAGUUUUAAUUUAAUGUAUCUUGUGUAUCAGAGUUUAUUAAUUAAAUUUUUAUUUUUAAAAAAUCUCGAAUUUAAAAGAGUUAAUUAAUUAAUAAAUUUAAUGUGAUAUAAUUAUUUUAAAUAAUUAAUUUGAAAUGAAAUGUUAAUCGUUUUUAAAAUUAUCUAGUUUUUUUAGAAAAAAAUUUAAUUUUAAAUUUAUAUAUUUAUAAAAAUUAUAUUUUUAAUUUUUAUAUUUUUAAAUUUAAUAAUUUAAGGGAUAAGCUUUAAAUUAAAUUUUUAUAAUAAAUUAGAUAAGUAUUUUAAAAUUUUUUAAAUUUAAAUUGUUUAAAAAUUAAAAUUUAUUAUAAAAUAUUUUAAAAUAAGUAAAAUUUAAUUUAAUUUAAUUUUUUAUAAAAAAAUAUUAUUUAAUUUUUAAGUAAUUGUUAUAAUGAUAAAAUUAGUAUAAAAAUAAAGAAAUUUAUUAAUUUUUUAAUAAAUAAUAAAAAGGAAUUCGGCAAAAAUUUAUAUUCACCUGUUUAACAAAAACAUGUCUUUUUGAUAUAAUAAUUUAAAGUCUACUCUGCCCACUGAUAAUUAUUAAAGGGCUGCAGUAUUUUGACUGUACAAAGGUAGCAUAAUCAUUAGUCUUUUAAUUGAAGACUUGUAUGAAAGAUUUGAUGAAAUAUAUACUGUCUCAUUAUUAAUUUUAGAAUUUAAUUUUUUAAUUAAAAAGUUAAAAUAUAUUUAAAAGACGAGAAGACCCUAUAGAGUUUUAUAAUUAAUAAAUUUAAAAUUUUAUAUAAAUUUUUAAAUUUUAAAUUUAUUAAUUAUUUUAUUGGGGUGAUAAAAAAAUUAAAUAAACUUUUUUUUAAAUUUUAACAAUUAUAAUUGAAUAAAUGAUCCAUAAAUAAUGAUUAAAAGAUUAAAUUACCUUAGGGAUAACAGCGUAAUAUUUUUUUUUAGUACAAAUAAAAAAAAAAGUUUGCGACCUCGAUGUUGGAUUAAGAUAAAAUUUAAAUGCAAAAGUUUAAUAUUUUGAUCUGUUCGAUCAUUAAAAUCUUACAUGAUCUGAGUUCAAACCGGUUUAAGCCAGGUUGGUUUCUAUCUUUAAAUAAUAAUAAUAUUUUAGUACGAAAGGAUCAAUUAUUAAAAAUAAUUUUAUUUAAUUGAAUAUUAAUAAAUUAUUUAUUAAUU
rnacentral:rRNA from 1 species